GGGUUUGCAGCGGGACAUGGAGGGAACGGUAGGCAUAGAGAAUGUGCUGUGCUGAUAUGGUUUAUGUAAUAUUUUUCAAAAUCUUCCAAUAAUUUGUGUUUAUGUGUUCUACUAGAUCCUGAACUCUUGUCUCAAAAUGAUUGAGAAGGUAGUGUAGCUCCUGUGAAAUAUUUAAUUCAAAAUUAUUGGAUAGUCUAGUUCAAUAGUCAAUAUAUUUUGACAGUAAGAGAUUUAGCAAACUUUCUCUGUUAUAGAGAGUAGAGAACCUGUUUGCUGCAGACAGCUAUGUCAUUUCCACUUGGUUCCCACCAUCAUCGAGGAACGCCAUGGAUCACCUUCCGACACGUUGCUCACAGCCUCUCUUCUGGCCCCUGGAGAGAGCUUGGUGUGAAUGAUGUCCAGGGCCUAACAAAGCAAGGGUGCUCCAACAACUGUGGCGUGUUUGUUUUGAUGUACACUCUGUACAUUGUAAUGGGGGCCAAUUGUGAUUUCAGCGAGGAAAACAUGCUGCAAAUUAGGAGAUGGUGGUGUCUCGCUCUCCUGCAGAACUUCCCCAUGCCGUAAGAGCCCUGAAUAUCACACUUUUGAAUCAAAUGACAAAAAAAACAGUUUUACGCACUGCCAACAGUCCAACAUGAAUGUUUUCAUAGUUACUGUAUGUUGUCAUAAAAUCACUAAGGUCUGAGGAAGACCGAUUGCAGGACAGAAAACGGCGACGAGUGCAAGGAGGGCUACAGACACUGGGAAAUUGACGGACCUGGAAACCGGGAACAGGGUUGCUUGCUAUGGGCCAGAUACUUGAUAAUACCCUGAUACUUGCCUUUGUCAAACAUUUAUGGAAGCUUUUUUUUCCUCUUUACAGAUCAACAUUUUUUGCCUGGGGUGAAAAUAAAAAUCAAUGAUGCAAAGUCUUCUGUCUUUGGUUUAUUUGACAUGGCUAAUAUAAUUGAGUGUACGAAAUAAUAUGUGUCUAUACUAAAAAAGACAUUUGAAAUGACAAGUUAAAAGUAGGAAUGUCUAAGUCUAUCAAAUGCAUGAACUUCUUUCCAUACUACCGGUAAGUCAUCGUGCUGUGCUGUGCUGUAUUGAUGUUUGAGAAUGUGCUGCCGGAUCUCCGCCUCCAGAUGGCGCCCAAGAGGGUAAAACCAUGGGUUAAACGUUACUUGCCCCUGACUGCAGCCGCAGAUCGAGGAGGAGCUAAAUGUGGGCGGGGUUAAACGUUUAACCCCGCCCACAUUUAAGGAAAAUUCCGCGCAGUAUCAUGGACUCAGACGGAAAAACGUUCUCCCGCUUUCUGCAGAAAGCGGGAUAACGUAUUUCCGUCUGAGUCCAUGAUACUGCGCGCUUUUCUGCUAGAGGUAAGUUGCCGCUCUCUGUUCGUGUACAUUAUGCACUAAUGUAUGGAUAGACCAACAAGUUGAUCAUUAAAAUAUUCAUGGAAGUAACAUGCAUAGGCCUCAUGUUUAUGUCAUGAGGUCGUUUGAAAAACAGCAUUUAGGCAGUGUUUUUAAGUCAUCGUGCUGUGUGCUGUGCUGUGCUGUAUUGAUGUUUGAGAAUGUGCUGCCGGAUCUCCGCCACCAGAUGGCGCCCGAGAGGGUAAAACCAUGGGUUAAACGUUUAGACCCGCCCACAUUUAGCUCCUCCUCGAUCUGCGGGCUGCAGUCAGGGGCGCUUGCAAGUUUCCUUAGAUGUGGGCGGGGUUAAACGUUUAACCCCGCCCACAUUUAGCUCCUCCUCGAUCUGCGGGCUGCAGUCAGGGGUUACUCGUCAGGGGCGCUUGCAAGUUUCCUUAGAUGUGGGCGGGGUUAAACGUUUAACCCCGCCCACAUUUAGCUCCUCCUCGAUCUGCGGGCUGCAGUCAGGGGUUACUCAAAAAUUCGGGACGAUUCGGGACGGUUCAAAAUGUUUUUCGGGACGUUUCUGGGACGGUGGUGAAAAAAAGUUAAUUUUAACCCCUGCCCCUUUCACCCUCUGGGUUGGCGCGGUGCUUCAGGGAGGCGGGCUGCGUCCACCACUGCAGGGAGAAGUGGGCCACCUCCGCUGUGCACUGAGACAGCAGCAAACUGCCCCCGCCCGACAGGGUGGCCGGCACUCAGAACAAAUUGACAAAGACUG